AUGCAGGAACUAUUUGUAGAUGAUGGCAACUUUCAGAAAGCUCUACUGAAGUUCUAUAUGAAUCAUUUGCGUGCUAUUUGUUUACUUGAGUCCUUGUAUUUUUUAUUUUUCUUUAUUUAUGCCUUUUCCACCUUCCUUUGGUUUACAGUCUUCUUCAUUCAUUUGUUAUUUUUUUCAGAAAGUAAAAUGUUUGAAAUGAAAGCUUUCAUGUGCCGGCACAAAGAAUGUGGAGCCUACGACCCCCUUGAUCCAACGGGCAACAUCACAAUCAGAUGGGAUGUGAGGAGCUGGGUUCCAGAUGGCUAUGUGGCUGAGGUUUCACUAUUCAAUUAUCAGCAGUACCGCCACAUUCAGCCACCAGGAUGGAAGCUCGGGUGGGUGUGGUCAAAGAAGGAGGUAAUCUGGUAUGUGCAGGGUGGACAGGCUACAGAGCAAGGCGAUUGCUCCAAAUUCAAAGAGAUUAUCCCUCACAGCUGCAAGGUGAACCCGGAGAUAGUCGACCUGCUUCCCGGGGCACCUUACAAUAGGCAGAGGGCCAACUGCUGCAAAGGAGGAGUCCUCAGCUCACUGGCACAGGACCCUGCUAAUGCUGUGGCCUCCUUUGAGGUUUCAGUUGGUCGAUCAGGGACCACAACCAAGACCCUGGAAUUGCCUGUGAAUUUCACUCUGAAGGCCCCUGGUCCAGGGUAUACCUGUGGACCUGCAACCAAGUUAGAUGAACCUACAAAGUUCACUACACCAGAUGGAAGUAGGAAAUCUCAAGCCCACAUGACAUGGACUGUGACUUGUACCUACUCACAGUUUCUCGCACUGAGGGGAAACUCACCUUAUCUUGGUUCUGUCAUGAAUGGUCAAGACAAGAACGGCUUGGCAUCUCUGGUCCAAUGCACUACUCAUAUGUGCCCAAUAAGAGUUCAUUGGCAUGUGAAGGCUAACUACAAGGAGUACUGGAGAGUAAAGAUCACAGUGACAAACUUCAACUACGGGAUGAAUUACUCGCAGUGGAACCUAGUAGCUCAGCACCCUAAUUUCAACAGCUUGACUAGCAUUACCAGCUUCAACUACACAGCUCUGAACCCUUAUGGACUUAUGAAUGACACCGCUCUGUUAUGGGGCAUCAGGCACUACAAUGAUUAUCUCUUGACUGCUGGACCUGAUGGAUAUGUUCAGUCUGAGCUACUAUUCCGGAAGGACCCGUCAACAUUCACCUUGCGGGCAGGAUGGGCCUUUCCAAGAAGAGUGUACUUCAAUGGCGACAAGUGUGUGACGCCGCCUCCAGAUGCGUACCCGUGGCUGCCAAACGCAUCCACGAAAUCAACCAUAUCAGUUAUCGUCCCAUUGGUUCUUUGGAUGCUAGCUAAUCCCUACUUCUGA
rnacentral:rRNA from 1 species